ACGGGAGGCAGCAGUAGGGAAUCUUCCGCAAUGGACGAAAGUCUGACGGAGCAACGCCGCGUGAGUGAUGAAGGUUUUCGGAUCGUAAAGCUCUGUUGUUAGGGAAGAACAAGUGCCGUUCAAAUAGGGCGGCACCUUGACGGUACCUAACCAGAAAGCCACGGCUAACUACGUGCCAGCAGCCGCGGUAAUACGUAGGUGGCAAGCGUUGUCCGGAAUUAUUGGGCGUAAAGGGCUCGCAGGCGGUUUCUUAAGUCUGAUGUGAAAGCCCCCGGCUCAACCGGGGAGGGUCAUUGGAAACUGGGGAACUUGAGUGCAGAAGAGGAGAGUGGAAUUCCACGUGUAGCGGUGAAAUGCGUAGAGAUGUGGAGGAACACCAGAGGCGAGGCGACUCUCUGGUCUGUAACUGACGCUGAGGAGCGAAAGCGUGGGGAGCGAACAGGAUUAGAUACCCUGGUAGUCCACGCCGUAAACGAUGUGCUAAGUGUUAGGGGGUUUCCGCCCCUUAGUGCUGCAGCUAACGCAUAAGCACUCCGCCUGGGGAGACGGUCGCAAGACUGAAACUCAAAGGAAUUGACGGGGGCCCGCACAAGCGGUGGAGCAUGUGGUUUAAUUCGAAGCAACGCGAAGAACCUUACCAGGUCUUGACAUCCUCUGACAAUCCUAGAGAUAGGACGUCCCCUUCGGGGGCAGAGUGACAGGUGGUGCAUGGUUGUCGUCAGCUCGUGUCGUGAGAUGUUGGGUUAAGUCCCGCAACGAGCGCAACCCUUGAUCUUAGUUGCCAGCAUUCAGUUGGGCACUCUAAGGUGACUGCCGGUGACAAACCGGAGGAAGGUGGGGAUGACGUCAAAUCAUCAUGCCCCUUAUGACCUGGGCUACACACGUGCUACAAUGGACAGAACAAAGGGCAGCGAAACCGCGAGGUUAAGCCAAUCCCACAAAUCUGUUCUCAGUUCGGAUCGCAGUCUGCAACUC
rnacentral:rRNA from 1 species